AGAAAAUUCACUUUCCUUAAAGAUUGAAACAGUGUGGGAUCCAGGAAGUCGUACUACUGGAAAUGCUGUGGGACCGGUUCCCCAAGCAGAUUACACUGCCCUUAAUGGCACUUAAUGUCACUAUUGACUGUGAUAUACAGUAGAUAUAACAGCGUCUGUGAAAACAUCACAAGAACAGUGGAUGAAACACUGCCAUCCUCUCAGGUACAGUACAUACACACACAGAAGUG